UACGUAGGGUGCAAGCGUUGUCCGGAAUUAUUGGGCGUAAAGAGCUCGUAGGCGGUCUGUCGCGUCUGCUGUGAAAACUCAGGGCUCAACCCUGGGAUGCCGGUGGAUACUGUCGAGCUCGAGUCCGGAAGAGGUGUGUGGAAUUCCUGGUGUAGCGGUGAAAUGCGCAGAUAUCAGGAGGAACACCAAUAGCGAAGGCAGCACACUGGUACGUGACUGACGCUGAGGUGCGAAAGCGUGGGGAGCAAACAGG
rnacentral:rRNA from 1 species